AAUGGCGUCCCGUUAUCUAAACUGGUUUUUCGUCUUUGGAAUUAUAGGUACCUGCAUGCCAUUAGAAGAUAUUGGUGUUUUGCGCAAGGCUAACUAUAGGAAUGGAAAAGUUAUUUUAACCUGUAAAGUUGACAUGCUAGGCUUUGAUGUAAUCAUAAAAAAUCCCCACGGAGAAACCGUUGGAAAAUGUCUUGCACCAAUACGUUCUAGACAUAAGGGAGAACAUCCUGGACAAGAGGGAGAAUGUUCAACACCAAAUACUGUACAGUACUUAGAUUCAAACAGAACAAUUGUAACAAUUGAAAAUCCUGACAAUGACACUGAAGGUUCCUGGAUGUGUGACCAUGGUACAAAGCGUGGUAAUGAUAGUGUGUAUGUUCCAAACUAUCUGCCCGCAAACAAUAGUAAUCCACAACGCGAACAAGAUUUAGACCGGUCCUGUAAUUGUUGGGACUAUGUGACUGCCACAUUCUUUGCUGGUACCUUCAUAACUGUUUUAGUAAUGUCCAUAGACACUGCGUUUUCUUUACACAAUAGAUAAUCAAGAAGAAUACAGCAAGUCGUUCAAAUGUUUACCGGAGGAGUAGACACUACGGAUGAACAGCAGAGCUUAAUUGGGA